GACGAACGCUGGCGGCGUGCCUAAUACAUGCAAGUCGAACGCAGUGGGGACGGGUGAGUAACAAGUGGGUAACCUCCCAUCAGAGGGGAGAACACUUGAAAACAGGUGCUAAACCGAUACUGAUGGAUGGACCCGGGUUGCAUUAGCUAGUUGGUGAGGUAACGGCUCACCAAGGCAACGAUGCAUAGCCGAGCUGGGAGGGUGAUCGGGCACACGGGGACUGAGACACGGUCCAGACUCCUACGGGAGGCAGCAGUAGGGAAUCUUCGGCAAUGGACGAAAGUCUGAUCGAGCCACGCCGCGUGAGUGAAGAAGGUUUUCGGAUCGUAAAACUCUGUUGUUAGAGAAGCGGUAUCUAACCAGAAAGCCACGGCUAACUCCGUGCCAGCCGCCGCGGUAAUAC
rnacentral:rRNA from 1 species